rnacentral:snRNA from 1 species
AGCUUUGCACAGUGGCAGUAUCAUAGCCAAGGAGGUUUAUCCGAGGCGUGAUUAUUGCUAAUUGGAACA